GUCCGGCAUAUCGUCAGUAUUUUGUUAACUAUUAAUAUUGUGCAGUAGCACACAGUUGUUAAACCUGGAUUUGCAUUCUUACCUUGCCUCAUACUAACCAUAUGAAGCAGGACAUAUCACUUGCCCUUCAUGAACCUCAGUUUACUCAUGAGUAAAAUGGGCAUGUGUUACUAACCACUUCAGGUUGACUUUGUGGAGCUUUAUCAUAUGUGAAGCACAUGGUACAAUCCUUGUGAAAAAGUAAGCAAUUCAGCAAAUGUUUGCUAAUAGUAUUUAUUAUUUUUAGUCUUAAAGAAAUUGAAAAUUUUCUUGCUUUUUUUUUCCUUACUUCCUUCAGUGUACACACUCCCAUUUCUAUCUCAAUUUGAAUAUGUCCAGUGAAGGUAGAAAUAUAAUCUAUCUCCUUUUGAAGGCAAGGAGGAGUGAAGCAUUUAGGAAUACUAGUUUUAAAGAUGAGAAGUCUAAUUAUUUUGAUUAAUAAUCACAUUAGCUUAGUCAUUCCUCAACAUAGCUCUCUCUCUUUGCAUCUAUAUAUAAUCCUAUUAUUUACUUACCAAUUUUUAUAUAUACUCCUGUUUACUAAAACAUUGACAUUAUUCAUGUAGGCUAACUGUUCAUUAUCUAUGGCUUACCUAUCACGUAUAUUAUGUUCACAAUACACAUCAAUGGCAAGUAGGGUUCUCUCUCAGGUGGUACAGUAGCUCAUAUAGUAUCUAUUUAGAGUCUUGGUUGAGAAGCAAACAUCUGGGCUUAUUGGAAAUAAGCGUGGCCACUGAACUACGAGUAAUACUUCAUGUAUGGGUAAUUUCAGUCCUUUGGUAGAGUGAAUAGUAGCUAUGAGAAACAAGUUGAGAAUAAAAAUAUUGGAAAAUAAGCAUAUUUUGAUAUUUUAUUCUAUAUGAAUAUUCAUGUUAAAAUGAAUAAUUUUCACUUUCAGAAAUUUUAUUUUAAAUUAAAUCUAACAUUACUAUAGAUUAUUAAAUAAAAUACUGAUCUUAGGGGAUAAAAAAUGUAGAUGACUUCAAAAAUAAUAAUCCAGAUCUAAUUGUUUUUUGGGACUUUAGUAACCUCAAUAACUAAAAUUUUAGGUUUCAUAAAAUAUUUUGAAAACAUGAAUAUAUAGAUUAGAAAUUUUGCAAGAUGAUUUUUUACUCCCUUUAUUGUUGUAUGUAUUCAUUUUAUUUGGGUUAUAAGACCAUACAGCAACAAGAAAAAGUUGUGAUGGUACUUUUAGUUAGCAUAUCAGCAACAUCAGACCAUUAGAACAUCAUACAGAAUCAAUACUCCCCAGAGCUCACCUAAGAUUAGAAUACAGACAUGAUAUGUUUAUGACAUAUCUACAGGCAAUUUGCUCUCCUCCAGAAAAAGUUGCCACUAACAUUUUAUUCAUUUCUCUCUGGCCUUAGGUCCAAGCACAUAUGCAGAGAGCUCAAGUAGACGGAGCACACAUAACUGAAUUCACCAGGUUUAUGGUAUCCUGGGCCAUUGAGUUAAUAGCUUUAAUUGUGAACUUAGAGAAAAUGAGAAGCCAAGGACAUCUCAGUCCUUAGAGUUAUAAUUAUAUAAAUGUAUUUAUAUAUGUUAUAUAAAAAUAUAUUUAUAUAUUAUGUAUGUUAUAAAUAUUUAAAUAAAUAUGUUAUAAAUAUACAUGUUAUAUAUGUUAUAUAUGAAUAUAUAAAUAUGUAUAUAAUUUAGAAAACAUUGGUUCCCUGAGCACUAAUAACAGUUGCUUCUCAUUAGAUAGUCAUAAGCUACUUCUCAAUAACAGCCAAAAUAUAUAGUCACUUUAGUUUAUAAUGCUAAAUUCUGUGAGCUACAGGACUUUUAUUUAUUCCAAGUCCCUGGCACAAAGAGUGUGCUUAAUAAACACUUUUAAGUCAAAGGAAAAAUACAAAUAUGCUGAAUAUAUUGAACCACAUUUUCAUGUGUUCUACACCUUUAGUAAGAGUGUCCUUAUUUUAAAUGCAGAAAACCCGUUUGUUUGAUAAAUAUAAAACUAUUUACUAUUUACAGUUUUGAGGGACUGCAACACAGUGAGUGGGGUUGUAAAUGUUUGACUUUAACCUGGUGGAUUUUGGUGCUAUAUUGCCACCUUGUGGUUACUCAUCUAAAAAUGGACUUUUCUUCAAAAACAAAAAUCAAAAAUAGACAAAACAAAGAAUAACUGUUUUGCUUUUGUGAUAUAUGGUGCAAACAUAAGUUUGUGCUGUGUGCUUACACACACACACAGACAUACAGUCACACACACACACAUGCAUGCACACCAGAAACCUGAGUCUGAAAGUAGUGACUGUGCUUGAAAAGGAGAGAAAUGGAACAUCUUUCCAAGAGUAAUCCUUUAAUGCCGAAAGUCUCUCAUAUAGGAAAAUUAGCUAAGUGGCCUGUCUAUUAUUUUCAAACACACAAUGAUAUGAUUUCAAUGGUUAAGUAAAAAUGUCUUUCCACUCUUUAUAAUAAAGAACUAAUAAUAAAAAGAAA
rnacentral:lncRNA from 1 species